GCUUUUUCUUAAUUAUAAAGGUUUUAGUUUUUACAUGGGGGUACCUGAGACCUGGCUCCCCACUCUAAGGCCAGAUCAUAGCACUGCUGGCCUUGCCUCCAUUGCUGGCUCCUGGCAGCUGCCUGCAGGGGCCCACAGGUGGGGACCAAAGUC
rnacentral:snoRNA from 1 species